UGGGGAAUAUUGCACAAUGGGCGCAAGCCUGAUGCAGCCAUGCCGCGUGUAUGAAGAAGGCCUUCGGGUUGUAAAGUACUUUCAGUCGGGAGGAAGGUGGUAAGGUUAAUAACCUUGGCAAUUGACGUUACCGACAGAAGAAGCACCGGCUAACUCCGUGCCAGCAGCCGCGGUAAUACGGAGGGUGCAAGCGUUAAUCGGAAUUACUGGGCGUAAAGCGCACGCAGGCGGUUGAUUGAGUCAGAUGUGAAAUCCCCGGGCUUAACCCGGGAAUUGCAUCUGAUACUGGUAAGCUAGAGUCUUUUAGAGGGGGGUAGAAUUCCAUGUGUAGCGGUGAAAUGCGGAGAGAUGUGGAGGAAUACCGGUGGCGAAGGCGGCCCCCUGGACAAAGACUGACGCUCAGGUGCGAAAGCGUGGGGAGCAAACAGG
rnacentral:rRNA from 1 species